rnacentral:rRNA from 1 species
GACGAACGCUGGCGGCGUGCCUAACACAUGCAAGUUGAGCGACGAACCAGGGCUUGCCCUGGGGCAAAGCAGCGAACGGGUGAGUAACACGUGGGUAACCUACCCCGAUAACCGGGACAACCCGAGGAAACUCGGGCUAAUACCGGAUGUGCUCACUGGACUUCGGUUCAGUGCGUAAAGGAAGCUUCGGCCUCCGUAUCGGGAGGGGCCCGCGGCCCAUGAGUUUGUUGGUGAGGUAACGGCUCACCAAGACCGCGAUGGGUAGCUGGUCUGAGAGGACGAUCAGGCACACGGGGACUGAGACACGGCCCAGACCCCUACGGGAGGCAGCAAUGGGGAAUCUUGCGCAAUGCGCGAAAGCGUGACGCAACAACGCCGCGUGGGGGAAGAAGGCCUUCGGGUUGUAAACCCCUUUCAGGAGGGACGAAGGUUCGGCGGUGAAUAGCCGUCCGGACUGACGGUACCUCCACAAGAAGCCCCGGCUAACUACGUG